UAGCAGCUGUUUGCAUUUCCAUUGCCUUGGAAGUUCAUCACAAAGGUGUUCACAGAAUGAAAAUAUUACAUUAAUUAUUCUAACACUUGGUGGUUGCAUGUGUUUUAGCAUGCCAGACUUCAGUGAACCAGACUGCAACCACUUGGAAGUGGAACAUCCUCCAAGUCAUACAGAGAAGCAGCUGUCCAUGAUGAAGCAGAAAGCCUGGUAUGUUGUGGUCUAAACAGUCUUCCUGGGACUCCAUGGGUGUCAUGCUGCUGGCAAUUCUGCCAGGGAACAUCAAUUGGCUCAGCCUCCAGCUGAUACCGUGGUAGCUUGGAAAUACCCCCUGGAAGCUCUUAUCAUCUUUGUGCCAGAUGUUUCACAGAAACUAAGCAGCUCGUGGAACUUCAGUGAGAAAGAGAAGGAGCUUCUGGUAUGUUCUGUUAAAGCAGAAUAGUAAAUAUCUCCUUCAAUACACAAUGUA